AUGAACGCUGGCGGCGUGCCUAAUACAUGCAAGUCGCGCGAACAGACGAGGAGCUUGCUCCUCUGACGUUAGCGGCGGACGGGUGAGUAACACGUGGAUAACCUACCUAUAAGACUGGGAUAACUUCGGGAAACCGGAGCUAAUACCGGAUAAUAUAUUGAACCGCAUGGUUCAAUAGUGAAAGACGGUUUUGCUGUCACUUAUAGAUGGAUCCGCGCCGCAUUAGCUAGUUGGUAAGGUAACGGCUUACCAAGGCAACGAUGCGUAGCCGACCUGAGAGGGUGAUCGGCCACACUGGAACUGAGGCACGGUCCAGACUCCUACGGGAGGCAGCAGUAGGGAAUCUUCCGCAAUGGGCGAAAGCCUGACGGAGCAACGCCGCGUGAGUGAUGAAGGUCUUCGGAUCGUAAAACUCGGUUAUUAGGGAAGAACAAAUGUGUAAGUAACUAUGCACGUCUUGACGGUACCUAAUCAGAAAGCCACGGCUAACUACGUG
rnacentral:rRNA from 1 species